rnacentral:tRNA from 1 species
GGACCCGUAGUCUAGCUUGGAUAGCGAAAAGCCCAAAAAGGACGCUGGCCUCCGGAGCCGGUGGCGCGGGUUCAAAUCCCGCCGGGUCCG